rnacentral:rRNA from 1 species
GACGAACGCUGGCGGCGUGCCUAAUACAUGCAAGUAGAACGCUGAAGGAGGAGCUUGCUUCUCUGGAUGAGUUGCGAACGGGUGAGUAACGCGUAGGUAACCUGCCUGGUAGCGGGGGAUAACUAUUGGAAACGAUAGCUAAUACCGCAUAAGAGUAGAUGUUGCAUGACAUUUGCUUAAAAGGUGCAAUUGCAUCACUACCAGAUGGACCUGCGUUGUAUUAGCUAGUUGGUGAGGUAACGGCUCACCAAGGCAACGAUACAUAGCCGACCUGAGAGGGUGAUCGGCCACACUGGGACUGAGACACGGCCCAGACUCCUACGGGAGGCAGCAGUAGGGAAUCUUCGGCAAUGGACGGAAGUCUGACCGAGCAACGCCGCGUGAGUGAAGAAGGUUUUCGGAUCGUAAAGCUCUGUUGUAAGAGAAGAACGAGUGUGAGAGUGGAAAGUUCACACUGU